rnacentral:lncRNA from 1 species
UGCUGCUCAUAAUCAUUUUAUUUGCUUUUAUCCUACAAAAAGAUAAGGAAAAAAAGAUUGACUAAAGUUGCUGGAGCAAUAGCAGUUGGAUGGUACUGUCCUCAUUACUGAUCUUUGCAGCCACAAUCUAUAGCAAAUAUUUGGCCUCCUGUUCACAUUUUUCCUGCUCUACAUCACACCUCUACAACAAAGUAUGAGAGCCAACGCUCAUCGAGUGGUAUGCUCAGGUGGCAAGACAAACAUUUCACCUGAUGGAAAUCCUCAGAAGCUGGUUAGCACUAACAGAGAAGGAUUUGAGACAGCAUCAGAUACUGAAUUAUACUGCUCUUUGAUCUGCAAACUCCAACCACGUAGACUGGUCAGAAGAGAUGCUGUGCAUGAGAAGGAUGCAGUGAGCUUGGAUGGCUCCACCUCACCACCACUGCAAGCAACGGCCAUGAGUGGUUAUGAGCACCCUGGGCAUCCUGAUCCUGUUCUUCCCAUUUCUGUCAUUGGUUGGUGCUCCUGGCUCUACACAACCCUACAACAUUUGGAUAGAGUCAACCCUGAGAAUCUACAUGGACAAGCUAGAGCCCACUGACCUUUCUUAGGACUUUUCUCAGAGCACACAGAAACAUCCUUGGCCUUCAGGUUUUGGAUAUUUUUCUCCUCUCCCUUCAGACAACUGUGGAACUUGCCCUAAAGUGGUUUCAGGGGCACAUGCUUGCAUAAGAGCAGUAUGGAUGGGAGACAUCUCCAAAUUUGUGCAUUUUCCAUUUUGUGACUUAUUUAUCAGAGAAUUAGAGUUGCAGUAGAAGAGGCUCCAUACUGUUUUAUAGCUCAGUAUUUUUCAACAAAUUUGUUGUGAUCCCCAUAGCACCACGCAAGGCAACCAAGAGGGUUGUGAUAUGUUGAAACAUUUAUUACACCAUAAAAUAAACUAAGUUCUGCUCCUUGGCCCUCCCCA